AGUGAACGCUGGCGGUAGGCCUAACACAUGCAAGUCGAACGGCAGCACAGUAAGAGCUUGCUCUUACGGGUGGCGAGUGGCGGACGGGUGAGGAAUACAUCGGAAUCUACUUUUUCGUGGGGGAUAACGUAGGGAAACUUACGCUAAUCCCGCAUACGACCUACGGGUGAAAGCAGGGGAUCUUCGGACCUUGCGCGAUUGAAUGAGCCGAUGUCGGAUUAGCUAGUUGGCGGGGUAAAGGCCCACCAAGGCGACGAUCCGUAGCUGGUCUGAGAGGAUGAUCAGCCACACUGGAACUGAGACACGGUCCAGACUCCUACGGGAGGCAGCAGUGGGGAAUAUUGGACAAUGGGCGCAAGCCUGAUCCAGCCAUACCGCGUGGGUGAAGAAGGCCUUCGGGUUGUAAAGCCCUUUUGUUGGGAAAGAAAAGCAGCAGGUUAAUACCCCGCUGUUCUGACGGUACCCAAAGAAUAAGCACCGGCUAACUUCGUG
rnacentral:rRNA from 1 species